UUACAUGGUGCCCGCAUGUUUCACUUGACCAGUGGCUAGUGGCAGCACAGGCCUCAUCAUGGCCAUGUCAAGGGUCACUCUUAUUUAAGAGAAGGAUGAAGUGGUACAAGGUCAGGAACCCCCUUUCAUGGCAAUCAAUCACUGAGUCACAGAAGGGUUCAGACAGAUGGGAAACCAACAAGACCACCCCCUGAAGCAGGAAGAGAGGUUGGUCAGACACACACUGCCCCAUGGAAGAGACCCACAGGAAACACUGAUGGACUGAAUUAUGUACCCAUUAUGGCUCUGAAUGAGACAGCUGUGGAGCGAACCUGUGGAUUAAUGUGCCUACUUAAUUGCAGUUGUAACAAAUCAUUGAUCAAAUUUGUGGAACUAGCUGAUCCCUUUUUGCUCCUUCUUCUAGUAUGCUCUCCACAAGAGUGACAAGGUAAGGGGCUCCUGAUCCACAUAUGAAUACAAGGGAAGCCCCAUCCCCUGGAAUGAAGAAAACUGAGGGCCUCUUUCUCCUAUUCUGUGGGUCUUCUAAAAUAUCCAAGAUGCAUUAAGGAUUGGAAAGGUGCCCUCUUUUUAGAAACUUCAGCCAAAGAGCACAGAGCAAAGCAGAUGUCUAUGCCCACUUUCUUGGAAGGAAAGCCUUGAAACACACUUCACAAGACUCUUCCAUCAUCUCUCAUUUAGAAAGCCUGUGUCCCCAAUGCUGUAUCUUUGCCCCCUCUACCUGGAAUGCUCUCCUGUUGCCACCACAUUUCUGCUUGUAGACAUUUAACCCAUCCUUCACAGCCUGAUAAAAAAGGCAUCUGCUCAAAGGAGUAGUCUCAGAUCUACAUGGUCAGAAUCACACUCUGUCCCCACCGGCCCCGUAAUCAGGUGCUUAUGCUGUUCAUAGAUGGGUUGUUCAUACAUCCCAGUUUUCUUGGGACCGUCCUGCUUUAUGCCUGUCAUGCCAGGAUUCAUUAAUAGCAUCUUUUCACCUUCAAAACUGUCUCAAUUGAACAUUAGACGGUAUGGUGUGGUGGACACACCCUCUGGUGACCCCCAUUGGGUCAUAUCUUUUUCUGACCCCUUCCCUUGAAUGCAGGAAGAACUGGUGAAUUGCUUCUGGCCAAUAGAAUGUGGCCAAGGUGACAAGAUAGCCAUCCUUUGGUUGUGUCACUUUUUAUAAGAUUCUGUCUUCGUGACUAAAGAGAGUGGGUCCCCUGCAGGCCUUGAAGAAACGAGCUGCUAUGAUGUGAACUGCCUGAGGGAAGGGCCUUAGGAACUGUGGGCAGGAACCAUGGGCAGCCUCUACCUGCUGAAGGCCUUGGUCUUCUGGAUGUAAGGAACUGAAUUCUGCCAGCAGUCACAUGGCCAGAGGAGGACCCCAAGCUCCAGCGAGGAAAAUUGUGACUCCUCAAUGACGGUCUCUGAGCCCUGAGCAGAGGACCCACGUGAGCUGUGCCUGGACUCCUGACCCACAGGCACUGUGAGGUAUCUGAAAUGCCUGCCCAUUCCUCCAUGCCCAAAAGAGUGUAGAACUCAGAAGUUCUUCAUGGAUGCCUUCCAGAUAUGCUACUUGAAACCACUGAUGGGAAGACCGAGACUUGAGAGGCAAAAGUGCUUGCCCCAGGUCUCCCAGCUGGUAAGUACAGAUCCCCAAAGUUUUUCGCCCUAUUCCAAACUGCCUCUUCUCCCCUUGGGAUCCAGCCCUUUGCAAGACACCAGUGACUGGUAAUGUCUAGCGGAAAUCAUGCAGGAUUCAGUGACCAAGCCCUUGAAACUUGGGAAAGUCCUCAGAAAUUUUUUGCAUCUUGGCAUCCAAACUGGCAAAAAGGAAAGAAAUCGAUUUGACCUUAGAGGUUUGGAUUUUGUAAGGCGUAACUGUGAGAACAAUUACUUAAUUGUAAUAGUUAACAAUGGUAAUUGUUGAGGAGUAUAGGCUCAAAACAAAUUAGUUCCUUAAUGAGGCAUUUGUUAGCUUGUUCUGAGAUGACAUAAUGCCUUAACUCUAAUGAAGAUGCAGAAAAAAGGAUUUUAAAAACAGUGCUUAAUGUAUAACUCGGUGUUCUACCUCUUCUUCCGUGUGACGUGUGGGUAUACUCUCUCUGUCCCCAUCCUGAGCUCCAGCCUGUGCCUGAAGGCAGAAACCAGAAGUGUGUCCUUGUCUCCCAUCCUGAAAACAGGAUAGUUUGGUACAUUUGGAAGUGCUCUGUGUGCUAGGAGAGCACUUCCAAAAGCAAGUCUCUAAUGCAGAGUGGAGUUUACCUCCCAAACGAUUCCAGUGAGUAAGCCUUGUUGAUGCUUGACUACUG